AUUGAACGCUGGCGGAAUGCUUUACACAUGCAAGUCGAACGGCAGCACGGACUUCGGUCUGGUGGCGAGUGGCGAACGGGUGAGUAAUGUAUCGGAACGUGCCCAGUCGUGGGGGAUAACGUAGUGAAAAUUACGCUAAUACCGCAUACGAUCUAUGGAUGAAAGCGGGGGAUCGCAAGACCUCGCGCGAUUGGAGCGGCCGAUAUCAGAUUAGGUAGCUGGUGGGGUAAAGGCCCACCAAGCCAAUGAUCUGUAGCUGGUCUGAGAGGACGACGAGCCACACUGGAACUGAGACACGGUCCAGACUCCUACGGGAGGCAGCAGUGGGGAAUUUUGGACAAUGGGCGAAAGCCUGAUCCAGCCAUUCCGCGUGCAGGAUGAAGGCCCUCGUGUUGUAAACUGCUUUUGUACAGAACGAAAAGGUUUCUACUAAUACUAGGAGCUCAUGACGGUACUGUAAGAAUAAGCACCGGCUAACUACGCGCCAGCCGCCGCCGUAA
rnacentral:rRNA from 1 species